rnacentral:rRNA from 1 species
UACGUAGGGGGCAAGCGUUGUCCGGAUUUAUUGGGCGUAAAGAGCGUGUAGGCGGCCAGGUAGGUCAGCUGUGAAAACUCGAGGCUCAACCUCGAGAUGUCGGCUGAAACCAUCUGGCUAGAGUCCGGAAGAGGAGAAUGGAAUUCCUGGUGUAGCGGUGAAAUGCGUAGAUAUCAGGAGGAAUACCGGUGGCGAAGGCGGCAUCCUGGACCGGCAUUGACGCUGAGGAGCGAAAGCCAGGGGAGCAAACGGG